UACGUAGGGACCGAGCGUUGUCCGGAAUCAUUGGGCGUAAAGAGCGUGUAGGCGGCCUUUUAAGUCCUGCGUGAAAUCCUGCGGCUCAACCGCAGACGGUCGUGGGAAACUGGAAGGCUAGAGUGCGGGAGAGGAGAGUGGAAUUCCCGGUGUAGCGGUGAAAUGCGCAGAUAUCGGGAAGAACACCCGUGGCGAAGGCGGCUCUCUGGGCCGUAACUGACGCUGAGGAGCGAAAGCAUGGGGAGCGAACAGG
rnacentral:rRNA from 1 species